AUUCCAGGAAAAGUCUCUGGGCCCUUGGGAAGAAUCAAGAAAUUUCCUUUCAAGUGUCUCUCAACCAAAUCCAGAUGGCACAGCUCCCCAUGACCUCCCAAAUACCACAUAAAAAGUCCCAAGCAGUUACUUCGUUAGCUCAAAAUUGUAGUCUGGGGACUGAGAAAGAUGGGCUCUGCUCUAGACCUAAAAGUCAGUGGCCUUGAAGACCACCAUUGUCCUCAAGUCAUCGCCUGAACUCAAUCGUUAAGAAUUUGCUUCUGUUUUACCCAGCACUUCUCUCUCCUUGUGGAGUGGCCAGAAAGAGUUUAUUCUCUAAUAUCCCAGGAGUUUAUUCUCUAAUAUCCCAGAUUAAUAUCUAAUAAUACUGUGAAGUGCCUUCACAGUAAGCAACUACCAUCCCUAGAGACAUCUCCGAAACCAUUCCAAGAAGCAUGUGUCCAUGUGGAUUCACCCUCCUCUGUAUCGUUCAUCUGCUCCUUCUAUGAGAUCAUUGUAUUAUUCUUCUGUCCCUCUAUUAACGAUUGUUCUACCCUGGGCCUGACAGCCCAGAUCCUUAUGUUUGAUUUUGGGAUGAAAUGAGGGAUCAUUUAUCAUUCAGUAGUUAAGAAAACAAGAUUUAUAGAGUCAUAGCACGUGAAGAAUAUUCAAUGAAGAUAUGAACUGAGGACACCGUGAGUUGAUUCCGUUGAGCAUGAUUUAUUCCCUGAUUUGACCACGGUGGUCAGCCAACUGAGCAUGAUUUGACCAUAGUGGUCAGUCAAUUGAGCAUGAUUUGACCAUGGUGGUCAGCCAACUGAGCAAAAAACACCUGGAGCUCUUCAUGACCCAGGUGAGCUCAGAUAACCAGGAAGUAAUGGAGCCAUUAGUCCCCUGAGCCAAUCAAGUAUGAAGGAUAUAUCUACAGGUCUGAAAGGAGGUGGAUCACAUUUUCCGUCAUAGGUCCAAGUCUUUCCAUGGCCUUCUGAAUUAACCAGCUCAUCAUUUCCUAGACCGCAGCAUCAUUCCAACCCAGUCACAUGCCAUCUGAGACAUUGUCUAGCUACCCAAGAAGCACAUGGCUCAGUGGUCAGAGAGAUGGUCUGGGAGCCAGUAUACAAGUGCCAAAUCCUGCCUUUGUCAGCCUUUCUGGGUCAACCCGAGUCAAUUCUCCAAGACUAAGUUACACAGAAGGGCAGAGGUGUAUUGUUGGAAGGAGUUUCUUUAUCUGGAAGUUCCCAAUAAAAAAAUGAAAUUUCAGAAUC